GAUCAAAUUAAGGGUUGAUUCAUUAAAGUAAAAAAAGAAAGAAAAAGAAAAUCCAAGCUUCGAACUUGAAGAACUCAAGUGAACUCGAUCGACGAUCAGUUAAACAAAGAACAAGAAGAGGGAGGCCAAUGCCACUGCUAGCCACCCAGCAUAGCCUCUGCAACAACCCAAACAGAAAUCAGAAGGUAGAAAUCGAAAAAUAAAAAUGGAAGAACAAAGAAGCGGAAAUUGAAAAGAAAAGCAGAGUUCCAGGUAUCCUUCUGCAAAUCUAGACGAUGAGAAGGUGGCUGACGACAAGAGGAGACAUAUAAUACGAAACCGAGUAAAUAUGACGACGGAUGGCAACAAAUUGAGGCUUUGGAGUCGAAAUCGUGCUUGGGGUUUCAAAGAUUUUGAUUUUUCCUAGGAGAAACCUCAAUCGCUGGAUGUAUAGAGGGUGAGGAGAGCUUCAUUUUGGUGGUGGUACUAAUCGGAGACGGGCAAUAGAAGUGAACAGCGACCGCCUGAGGAAAGCUUGACGGAGACUUUUUUGUUUUUGCUCAAUUUUUAAACAAAAAAGAAGAAAAUGAAAAUUAUUAAUAUAAGUUUUUGCCCAUUUUUAAAAUUUUAUUUAGUUCGUAUAUUAAUGGAAAAAAUGAAAAUGAUUAGUAUAA